AAAUUGAAGAGUUUGAUCAUGGCUCAGAUUGAACGCUGGCGGCAGGCCUAACACAUGCAAGUCGAACGGUAACAGGAAACAGCUUGCUGUUUCGCUGACGAGUGGCGGACGGGUGAGUAAUGUCUGGGAAACUGCCUGAUGGAGGGGGAUAACUACUGGAAACGGUAGCUAAUACCGCAUAACGUCGCAAGACCAAAGAGGGGGACCCUCGGGCCUCUUGCCAUCGGAUGUGCCCAGAUGGGAUUAGCUUGUUGGUGGGGUAACGGCUCACCAAGGCGACGAUCCCUAGCUGGUCUGAGAGGAUGACCAGCCACACUGGAACUGAGACACGGUCCAGACUCCUACGGGAGGCAGCAGUGGGGAAUAUUGCACAAUGGGCGCAAGCCUGAUGCAGCCAUGCCGCGUGUAUGAAGAAGGCCUUCGGGUUGUAAAGUACUUUCAGCGGGGAGGAAGGGAGUAAAGUUAAUACCUUUGCUCAUUGACGUUACCCGCAGAAGAAGCACCGGCUAACUCCGUGCCAGCAGCCGCGGUAAUACGGAGGGUGCAAGCGUUAAUCGGAAUUACUGGGCGUAAAGCGCACGCAGGCGGUUUGUUAAGUCAGAUGUGAAAUCCCCGGGCUCAACCUGGGA
rnacentral:rRNA from 1 species